rnacentral:rRNA from 1 species
GAUGAACGCUGGCGGCGUGCCUAAUACAUGCAAGUCGAGCGAACGGACGAGAAGCUUGCUUUUCUGAUGUUAGCGGCGGACGGGUGAGUAACACGUGGAUAACCUACCUAUAAGACUGGGAUAACUUCGAGAAACCGGAGCUAAUACCGGAUAAUAUUUUGAACCGCAUGGUUCAAAAGUGAAAGACGGUCUUGCUGUCACUUAUAGAUGUAUCCGCGCUGCAUUAGCUAGUUGGUAAGGUAACGGCUUACCAAGGCAACGAUGCAUAGCCGACCUGAGAGGGUGAUCGGCCACACUGGAACUGAGACACGGUCCAGACUCCUACGGGGGGAAGCAGUAGGGAAUCUUCCGAAAUGGGCGAAAGCCUGACGGAGCAACGCCGCGUGAGUGAUGAAGGUCUUCGGAUCGUAAAACUCUGUUAUUAGGGAAGAACAUAUGUGUAAGUAACUGUGCACAUCUUGACGGUACCUAAUCAGAAAGCCACGGCUAACUACGUG